ensembl:lncRNA
AUCUCACUGGAGAUCCUCAUCUACCCGAGGCCUUCCAAAGUUCUCAAGAAUUAAAAUGUGGUGGUAAAUGUGGUCUGGCUAGAUCAGCUAGGUGAUUGGCUUCUGUUCUCUGCAGAUGGCAGCAGAGGGAUGGUCUGACAAAAUGGCAUCUGACAUGGGAGUGCGGAUGAAGCAGAAGUAUAGAAUUGAAUUCCUCCAUGUGGGGAAAAAAUUGCAACAGUUGAUGUUCAUGGGCACUUGUGGAACACUUAUGGAGACCAACAAGUGGAUGUGAGCACAGUGAGGCAGCAGAUGAUGUGUUGCAACAGCGGGUCACUUCCUCUGGUGCAGAUUUGUAGGAGUGCAGCAUGCAGGCUCUUGUUCAUCUCUGUUGAAAAUGCAUAGCUAAUGGCAAUGACUAUGCUGAAAAACAGUGUUUUGUAGCUGAGAAUUUGCUCUAUCUAAUAGUAUUGUUGUGCUCUCUGUAUCUAUGCAAAAAAAAUGGGAGGCGUUACUUUUGAAGCAACCUACUUGUAUUUAAAACAUGCUGAUAGUCACCUGCAUUUAAGACAGUGUCUUAUCUGUAGACUCCAACUGGGCAAUUACUGUGGGAUCUGUGCUGGAUCCAGAAGGGAUGAAAGAUGGACUGCAUAUUUAGCAACCACCCUAGCUUUGUGUGCAUUCUUCAAGUAGCUCUUCUGCAAACCUUUUCUUGUAAUCUCCUGCCAAAUGCCUGCAGUGGAACUCCACUAGUUCUUUCUGCAUCUGUGAUAGAUAUGAAUGAUAGAUUUUUCCAUCAGUAAAAUUGUACUUAUUUGAGGGAUUUUACUGUGUUUUACUGAAUAAUGUCUAAACACUGCAAGAGUUGCUUGUCUAAUUGGUAUAGUCAUCUCCAAUGCGGGUAUUCUGUUUUUAGCCUUCUCACUUAGCAGAAGAUGGCUUACUGUCAUGAAUGGGGCCUGCAAGGCAGGUGCUAGCUAAUUGCAUGCGUUCAUCUCAGCUGCCAGGGUUCUGCCCAGCUGAGCACAUCAGGGUUCAUCUGAACCAUGACUGUGGUCAACAACAACCCAGAACAAGGGAUUGCUUGUCCUGCUGUGGUAACAACAAAACGCCACAGGGCAGUGCUGGGUGUUUAACAGUUCUUCAUGAUUUUGUGUAGCACAAAUGCUGAACAAAGCACAGUGGAUGAAUGAUGUAAUGCAUUUUUCCGAGAAAUACAGGGAAAAGAAAAUCAUAAUAAAUCUCUUCAGUGAGUGGGAUGUUCUUUGGAGAAUGAAGUAGGCCAUGCUCAGCAGCCUCCUGUCUGGUGCCACCUUUCUGAUAAUUGCAUAGUUACUCCAUAGUGAAGAACUGUACCUCAAAAUAAAGGAAACAACAUUAUAAUAUAAUCAU